rnacentral:rRNA from 1 species
ACGCUCGACACCUACGGGGGNGAGCAGUCGGGAAUAUUGCGCAAUGGAGGAAACUCUGACGCAGUGACGCCGCGUAUAGGAAGAAGGUUUUCGGAUUGUAAACUAUUGUCGUUAGGGAAGAAAAAGGACAGUACCUAAGGAGGAAGCUCCGGCUAACUACGUGCCAGCAGCCACGGUAAUCUGAGCGGGCUGGCAAGGC